UUGGAAACUUAUUCAAAUUUUUUUUAUAAAUUCUAUUUGGUACAAUGUAUUAGAUUGACUAGUCUUUUGAUGGAUAUAGAUUUACAAAUUAAUUCUUACUUACACAUUAGAUAAAAUGUCUCAUUUUGAAGUAAAGGCAUUUACUGUCAAGGCUAAGAACAGAGGAGGCAAACAGACAGGCUGAUUUAAAAACAAAGGAUCUGCAGGGACGUCUAAGCGUCAAAGUCAUUGGCCAGAGGAAGAGGUGGAUUCCGGCAAAACUGCUGCCAACACCAUGUGGCGAAUGCUGCACAGAGAGUUCCAGAUGCUGAAUCCUUGAAGACUGCUGAACUGGAUGACGAACAGAUCCAAGCAGGUGAAGGAAGGCUGAACUAUCUAGAAGGUGAAGCCAAAGCUGGUGUCGAUGAGGUUCACAGGAGUCCGAGCCAGAAGAUCCAAAAUCCGAAGAAAAAAGAUAGGGAAAUCCAGGUGGAAGUCAGGAAGCAUAUCCAGGUUCAGUCAGCAGGCUGAAUCCAGCAGGAGUCCAAAGAAAGGUUAGAAAAACUGAUCAGAACAGGAACAGGCAGACUCAGAGGUCCAAAGGCAGAACGGGUCAGGAUCAGGAUCAUGUAACCAGAACAAAAACAGAUGCUCAAGAGAACUCUCACCGAAGCCAAAGGCUCGAAUAAUCUGGCACUGAUGAAUGGGAGCAGGCAGGUUAAAUAAAGACUGGAGCAAGUGACACAGGUGAUGAGAAAUUGGGUGGAUCUAGACAGGUGAAUGUAAUGAACAAACAAGCCAGUCAUCAGCACCAUGAUCAUGACACCCGACUUAAAAAACCCCCAAAACAUUUGGAGUUAAACCAUUUUAUAUUUAAUGAUAUUUUAUAUGCAGACAGCUUUACAGAAGCGAUCACAGCUUGCUUUCAAAUUAAAUGUUUGUUUCCCAAAAAACUCUUAGAUGUCAGGGAUCCAUUUUGUGUGGGUUGUUUUUGUGUUUUCUCUCUCCACCACCAGAUGGUGCCCUGUUCCUCGUUGGGCCUCCCUGCACACCUGCGGCUCGUUGGAUUAUUACCGGAGGAGUAUUUGAGCAGCGGGCUGUCACUACCUUGACGCAAGAGUGUUUGCCAAUUUGGGAAGCCUUUCCUGUGCAACUGGAUAACCUGGACCUUCUCCCCCUGGAAGGAUUACUGAGUACACGCUGAGCAGGGGUAAACCUCCAUAAGAACCGUUCAAGUCCUCAUCGGGAAACCAAGUGACAGGCCGCUCCUUUACUCCUCUGUGUCCAACGUAUGUCUACCUGUUCGCUCUCCAACAAGUUCCCUCUCCUCUGGAUUAAUUCCCCACAAACUGGAUUCAAGGAUUAACAAGAGCCCCCUCAAACACUUUCCGGUUCCGGUUCACCAGUCCACUGAGUUCAAGCUCCUACUUCUGUGUUUCACCAACAUUCAAUAAACC